CUUUUAAUUGAAGGCUUGUAUGAAUGGUUGGAUGAAAGAGAAGCUGUCUCUUUUGCAAUUUAAAACUUGACUUUUAAGUGAAAAGGCUUAAAUUUAAUAAGGGGACGAUAAGACCCUAUAAAACUUUAUGCACGACAUGUCCUGUCUUUGAAUUAUAUCCAAAUAUUGGUUGGCUAAAAGUGCAUUCCGUUGGGGAGACGUUGAUAUAAGCUGUAACUGUCUUAUUAAAUAGAAUAAUUAUUAUUAUAAUUUGAUCCUUCUUUGUGGAUAAAAAGAAUAAGUUACUUUAGGGAUAACAGCGAA
rnacentral:rRNA from 1 species